rnacentral:rRNA from 1 species
UACCCUCAGAUGGGGAUAGCUAUAGAAAUAGUAGAUAAUACCGAAUACGAGCACAGGGGUUAGAGAUCUGUGAGGAAAGGAGCUAAGGCUCCGCUGAAGGAAUGGCCUGCGGCCCAUUAGCUAGUUGGUGAGGUAAGAGCCCACCAAGGCGAUGAUGGGUAUCCGGCCUUAGAGGGUGAACGGACACAUUGGGACUGAGAUACGGCCCAGACUCCUACGGGAGGCAGCAGCUAAGAAUAUUCCGGCAAUGGACGAAAGUCUGACGGAGCGACGCCGCCGUGGAUGAAGAAGGCCGGAAGGUUGUAAAAUCCUUUUGAAACUGAAGAAUAAGCGUUGUAGGGAAUGACAGCGUGGUGACAGUAGGUUUUGAGUAAGCAACGGCUAAUUACGUGCCAGCCGCCGC